CAGAGUUCAUGCCCGAAAGGGUAGACCUCCCACCCUUGUGUAUCAUUACUUUGUUCCUUUGGCGAGCUGCCUUCGGGCCUUGUGCGCUCGCCAGAGAAUAAUCAAACUCUUUUUAUCAAUGUCGUCUGAGUACUAUGUAAUAGUUA
rnacentral:misc_RNA from 1 species